rnacentral:rRNA from 1 species
GCCUACGGGAGGCAGCAGUGGGGAAUAUUGGACAAUGGGCGCAAGCCUGAUCCAGCCAUGCCGCGUGAGUGAUGAAGGCCUUCGGGUUGUAAAGCUCUUUCGCACACGACGAUGAUGACGGUAGUGUGAGAAGAAGCCCCGGCUAACUUCGUGCCAGCAGCCGCGGUAAUACGAAGGGGGCUAGCGUUGUUCGGAAUUACUGGGCGUAAAGGGCGCGUAGGCGGCUUAUCAAGUCAGGCGUGAAAGCCCCGGGCUUAACCUGGGAACUGCGCUUGAGACUGGUAGGCUAGAGUACCGGAGAGGUGGGUGGAAUUCCCAGUGUAGAGGUGAAAUUCGUAGAUAUUGGGAAGAACACCGGUGGCGAAGGCGGCUUCCUGGACCAAUACUGACGCUGAGGCGCGAAGGCGUGGGGAGCAAACAGGAUUAGAUACCCCAGUAGUC